rnacentral:misc_RNA from 1 species
UCCUGGUUAACCCAGGCAGUCUCAUUAGAGUUCCCACCCUAAGUGUUGGCAACUAAUGAUAAGGGUUGCGCUCGUUGCUGGACUUAACCAAACACCUCACGGCACGAGCUGACGACAGCCAUGCAGCACCUGUGCAGAUGUCCCGAAGGAAGAUAAUAUUUCUACUACUGUCAUCUGCAUGUCAAGCCUGGGUAAGGUUCUUCGCGUUGCAUCGAAUUAAACCACAUGCUCCACUGCUUGUGCGGGUCCCCGUCAAUUCUUUUGAGUUUCACCCUUGCGAGCGUACUCCUCAGGCGGUAUACUUAUCGCGUUAGCUUCGGCACAACUAGGGUUGAUUCCAGUUACACCAAGUAUACAUCGUUUAGGGCAAGGACUAC